rnacentral:rRNA from 1 species
AAAGGGACGUGCUCGCAUUAAGAGUUAGAUGCCGGGGUAUGAUGGUCCCAUCAGAGUGCGAGGGGUAUCGCCGGAUGCCAACUACGGGCAGCAGUAGGAAUCUUCUGGGAAAGUCUGAUGGGCAACGCCGGGAGGAAGAAGUUUCGUCGUAAAAUCUUUGUAAAAAGAACUCUGAGAGUAACUGUUCAGGUAUUGACGGUAUUUAACCAGAAAGCCACGGCUAAUACGUGCCAGCAGCCGCGGUAAUACGUAGGUGGCAAGCGUUGUCCGGAUUUAUUGGGCGUAAAGCGAGCGCAGGCGGUUUUUUAAGUCUGAUGUGAAAGCUUCGGCUCAACCGAAGAAGUGCAUCGGAAACUGGGAAACUUGAGUGCAGAAGAGGACAGUGGAACUCCAUGUGUAGCGGUGAAAUGCGUAGAUAUAUGGAAGAACACCAGUGGCGAAGGCGGCUGUCUGGUCUGUAACUGACGCUGAGGCUCGAAAGUAUGGGUAGCAAACAGGAUUAGAUACCCUGGUAGUCCAUACCGUAAACGAUGAAUGCUAAGUGUUGGAGGGUUUCCGCCCUUCAGUGCUGCAGCUAACGCAUUAAGCAUUCCGCCUGGGGAGUACGGCCGCAAGGCUGAAACUCAAAGGAAUUGACGGGGGCCCGCACAAGCGGUGGAGCAUGUGGUUUAAUUCGAAGCUACGCGAAGAACCUUACCAGGUCUUGACAUACUAUGCAAAUCUAAGAGAUUAGACGUUCCCUUCGGGGACAUGGAUACAGGUGGUGCAUGGUUGUCGUCAGCUCGUGUCGUGAGAUGUUGGGUUAAGUCCCGCAACGAGCGCAACCCUUAUUAUCAGUUGCCAGCAUUAAGUUGGGCACUCUGGUGAGACUGCCGGUGACAAACCGGAGGAAGGUGGGGAUGACGUCAAAUCAUCAUGCCCCUUAUGACCUGGGCUACACACGUGCUACAAUGGAUGGUACAACGAGUUGCGAACUCGCGAGAGUAAGCUAAUCUCUUAAAGCCAUUCUCAGUUCGGAUUGUAGGCUGCAACUCGCCUACAUGAAGUCGGAAUCGCUAGUAAUCGCGGAUCAGCAUGCCGCGGUGAAUACGUUCCCGGGCCUUGUACACACCGCCCGUCACACCAUGAGAGUUUGUAACACCCAAAGUCGGUGGGGUAACCUUUUAGGAACCAGCCGCCUAAGGUGGGACAGAUGAUUAGGGGAAGUCGUAAAC